CUCGCAGUUGCACUAGCUGGACCGGGAGGACGAGGGGAGGCAGAUGGGCGGUGCCCCGCGCGGGGACUGCGGUAGGUGCGGCUCAGCGCCACCGCCAGCCUCGCCGGGUUGCGGUGCGGCUGCUGCGCCAGCUCGAGGGCCUUCCGAACGGGCCGCCGCCUCUUCUCCGUCCCCGUGGUGGCGCGACCCGCGGGGACGAGGCCCGUCUGCGCGCGGCUGCGGCAGGACCCACUGACCACACAAUGAGUCCCCAACUCUCCGACUCGGGGCGGCCAGCUGUGGUUCCCGCCAGAGCGUUCAAAGACCUCACGCGAGAGUAGGAAAUGUCGCUGGGGACGGAGAGUGACGGGAAGGCGAGAAAGCGGAACCGGCCCCCAGGUUCCGCGCUGCGCAGAAACCGAGACAGCCCUCUUCCGGCUCCAAGUGGGAUAUCUGCGGAUGCGGAGGUGAGGCCGGAAGUGGAGUUGCCCCUAGGGCAUGUGGGGCGAGCAGAAUCGCGGAUCCAAGGGCUAGACGCCAGGUUCACGGAGCUGGGCUGGAGGUCAAGGAUGCAUUCCAAGAAAGUACUGAAACAUAUAUCACCAGCCCCCACCUGAUAGUUGACCUAGCCAUGGAAAACUUCAUUGGAGCCUCACUAAAUCAGACCAUAACUGGCACUCUUAAAAACUCUCCCAUCAAAAAGUAUCAGGACUGACAAUCUAAGACAAUCUAAGACAGGGGUCCUCAAACUUUUUAAACUUUUUUUCACUGUCCCUCAGACCGUUGGAGGGCCAGACUAUAGUUUAAAAAAAAACUAUGAACAAAUUCCUAUGCACACUGCACAUAUCUUAUUUUGAAGUAAAAAAACAAAACGGAAACAAAUACAAUAUUUGUAUUUGCAUGUGGCCCGCGGGCCGUAGUUUGAGGACCCCUGAUCUAAGAUAUAGAUCUACCACUUCAAGAAAGUUCCUGUACCAGUCAGCAGUCUAACAGAUCAGCUAGUUUCUUUGGUCAUCAAGCAGACAUGCUCAAGCUACCAACACAACAGUGGAAAAUGUCUCUAUAUGAAUGUUUUGCACAUUAUGUGUGUGACCCAUUAGAUUCACAGUGGUUCUCAACCUGUGGGUCGAGACCCCUUUGGGGGUCGAAUGACCCUUUCACAGGAGUCGCCUAAGACUAUCCUGCAUAGCAGAUAUUUACAUUACGAUUCAUAACAGUAGCAAAAUUACAGUUAUGAAGUAGAAACAAAAAUAAUUUUAUGGUUGGGUCACAACAUGAGGAACUGUAUUUAAAGGGCCAGAAGGUUGAGAACCACUGGAUUAGAAGGUCAUGAAAUCCAUUCUGUGAGUCAUGAUGAAUAUUUUUUAAAGACAAAAAAGUUAUAAAUUAUCAGAGUAUUUUCCAUAAAUCCUUUGUGAGAAUUGUGCACAUUGCAAGAAAUACUAAGGUCAGUUUCAAUAUGUGAAAAGAUAUUUGAUGGAGGGGAUAUGAUGAAUAGAAUGUAUAUUGGCUAAAAAAUGGUUUUGUCAGUCAUUUGUCCACUGGUGUCUUGUUUGGUUUUCAUAAUAAGGUUGAUGUGCAGUCUAGCUUUAUAUUACCAUGACUUGUAACUAGAUGUGAAGUCAUUGAGAUUCAGUUGAAAACUGCAUUGUUAAAGGUGUUAUCUAGGCUACAGAUGUAUACAUAUAUAUCUUUGAGUUUGUGACAAUUACAAUGUUUUAAUCAAAAUUGCUUUUUAAAAUGGAUCAUUUCUUUUUUAAAAGAAAGAGAAUAAUGAAGUGAAAUAUGCAGAAGCAUGUUCAGGUUCAAAUGUUGGAUCUGAAAGUGUGAAUAACGAUGCUAUUGAGAAAAAUAUUUAUUCUAAUCUGAAAACUUCAACUUUAUUUGAGCCACAUUUCAAAAAGAAAAAAGUAAGUGCAAGACAAUAUAAUGAAGAUGAUUUAAAAUAUGGUUUUAUCAAAUGUGAAAAACCCUUUGAAAAUGACAGACCUCAAUGUUAUUUGUAACAAUAUUCUUGCAAAUGAAAGCUUAAAACCUUCCAAAUUAAAAAGGCACUUAGAAACUCAGCAUGCUGAACUUACUGAUAAACCUCUUGAAUAUUUUCAAAGAAAGAAAAAAGAUGUAAAGUAUCAACACAAUUUCUCAGUUGUUCUACUUCUGUCAGUGAGAAAGCCUUAUUAUCAUCAUAUUUGGUUGCAUAUCGUGUGGCAAAUGAGAAAAUGGUUCACACAGCUGCUGAAAAGAUUAUCCUUCCAGCAUGUUUGGAUAUGGUACGUACAAUUUUUAUGAUAAAUCAGCUGAUAAAUUAAAAACUAUUCCUAGUGAUAACACAAUAUUUCUUCGAAUUUGUGCUAUUGCAGAACAUUUAGAAACAAUCUUAUGUCUCGGUUGCAGUCUGGUGUAGAUUUUGCAAUCCAGCUUGAGAGCACUGACGUUGGGAGUUGUAGAACACUUUUAGUUUAUGUCAGAUACGAGUGUCAAGGUGAUUUCAUGGAGGAUUUUUUGUGUUGUUUACAUUUUACUUCAGACCUAAGUGGAUUAGACAUUUUUAAAGAGUUAGAAAAGUGCAUUGUUGGUCAAUAUAAAUUAAACUGGAAAAACUGCAGAGGAAUUAUAAGUGACAAACAGCAAACAUAACUGGAAAACAGAGUCAUUAAAAAAUUGCUAGAAGUUACUAAUAAUGGUGCUGUGUGGAAUCAUUGUUUUAUACACCGUGAAGCUUUGGCAUCCAGAGAAAUUCCACAGAAUCUCAUGGAAGUAUUGAAAGUGCAGUGAAAGUUGUUAAUUUCAUUAAAGGAAGCUCACUAAGCAGCCAAUUUCUUGAAACAUUUUGUUCAGUGAUUGAACUAAUCAUACCCACUUACUGUAUCACACCAAAGUUCGGCGGUUGUCUCAAGGGGAAAUACUAAGCAAGGUUUACAAACUUAGGAAUGAGAUUCACAUUUUUCUCAUUGAAAAAAAAAUCUUAUUUGGCAAGUAUUUUUGAAGAUGCCAUUUGGGUAAUGAAAUUGGCAAAUUUUUACUGAUAUUCUUGGCAUUCUUAAUGAACUAAGUUUAAAACUACAGGGGAAAAACAGUGAUAUAUCCCAACAUGUUGAAGGUAUCCAGGAUUCCAAAAGACAUUAUUGUUAUGGCAAGCAAGGCUUAAAAGCGACCGGCCUAGCUACUACAUGUUUCCAAGAUUUUUGCAACAUAUUGAAAAGAAUAUUAUUAAUGAAACCAACUUUAAAGAAAUAAAAUUAGAAAUAUUGUUACAUCUCCCCUCUUUAUCUCAAACUUUUAAUCAUUUAUUUCCAGAAGAGAAACUUGAAACAUUAAGAGAAAACUGUUGGGUAAAAGAUCCAUUUGCUUUUCGAAACCCAGAAUCAAUAGUUGAGUUAAACUUACUGCCUGAAGAAGAGAGUGAAUUAAUGCAGCUCAGCUCCUCAUAUACAUUGAAGAAUGAUUAUGAAACAUUAAGUUUAUCAGUAUUUUGGGUUAAAAUAAAGGAAGUCUUUCCUUUGCUCAGUAGAAAGAGUACUCUACUAUUAUUACCAUUCACAACAACUAGUUUAUGUGAACUAGGGUUUUCAGUCUUAACCCAGUUAAAAAUGAAGAAAAGAAAUGGAUUGAAUGGUGCAGCAGGUAUGCAGGUAGCAUUGUCCUCCUGUGUUCCAGACUGGAAUGAACAAGCAAGCACACCCAUCACAUUAAAUUAAUCUCACCUGGUUUUGGGUUUUGUGUUUCCCAUUUUGUAUUUUUCCAUGUUGUAUUUAAAUGUUAAUAUAUAAUUUUAUGUGAUAACUUUGUUAUUUUCUAUUUUUGUUAUGCUUAAAUAUUAAUAAAAAAUGUGAUUUUAUAUUCAUUGAACAAACAUUUAAUGAACUUCUAUUAGAGGCCAGGAACUAUUCUAGAGACAUUUGGGAUACAGUAGAGCUAAUGUUCUGGCAAGGAGAGAGACAAUAGGUAUAAAUGGGCUUUAUAAUAUUUAGAAGAUACAAGUGCUAUGGGAAGAAGAAUAAGAAAAGGGGGUCAGGAAACUAUUUGGGGACCAAAUCACAAAGGGCUCUACCAUUAUAGGGCCUCUGGGAUUUUUUUAAGUGGAAUGGAGAGCGAUUGAAGGAUAACCUAGAGGAGAGACAUGGUCUGAAUUAGGUUUUAGAAGACUCACUCUGCUGUUUUGAGAGUGAAUGAAAUGUUCCUUCCCUCAAGAGGGCUUUCCUAACCACCUUAGUUUGGGUAAAUUGUCCAUAUUCUCCCUUUUAUUUCUUUGUAGUAUAUAAUUUGUGAUAUUUUUUCUUACUUGAUUACUAACUAGUUCUGUCAGUCUGCCACCCUGGAAUGAAUACUCCUUAUGAAAAGAGAUCCUAUCCAUCUUGUAUGAUGCAGAGUGAGUAUUGAGUAUACAUUUGAGGAGCAAAUGAAUUGAUAUCUAACAUCUGUAACUUGAGGUCAUAUUCCCAGAAAUAAGCAUUAAAUAUGUGGAAAUUUC